CAUGCAAGUCGAACGAGCGAGAGAGAGCUUGCUUUCUCGAGCGAGUGGCGAACGGGUGAGUAACGCGUGAGGAACCUGCCUCAAAGAGGGGGACAACAGUUGGAAACGACUGCUAAUACCGCAUAAGCCCACGGUGCCGCAUGGCACAGAGGGAAAAGGAGCAAUCCGCUUUGAGAUGGCCUCGCGUCCGAUUAGCUAGUUGGUGAGGUAACGGCCCACCAAGGCGACGAUCGGUAGCCGGACUGAGAGGUUGAACGGCCACAUUGGGACUGAGACACGGCCCAGACCCCUACGGGAGGCAGCAGUGGGGAAUAUUGCACAAUGGGGGAAACCCUGAUGCAGCGACGCCGCGUGGAGGAAGAAGGUCUUCGGAUUGUAAACUCCUGUUGUUGAGGAAGAUAAUGACGGUACUCAACAAGGAAGUGACGGCUAACUACGUGCCAGCAGCCGCGGUAAAACGUAGGUCACAAGCGUUGUCCGGAAUUACUGGGUGUAAAGGGAGCGCAGGCGG
rnacentral:rRNA from 1 species